CAUGUCAACUAAAUCGUUACCAUGUGGCAGUAUUGGUUAUGUUAUUCAUUAUUUGCUCUUUAAGCUGGCUAGAUGUUCGAGAAACUUAUUAUUUUAAAUUCGGAAGAGUUGUGAAAGAGAGAUUAUUUCAGAAGAACGACAAAUGGAUCAUAACACCGGCGAACGACAAUUUGUCAUUUGCUCUUCAGCAUAACUUCAAUUGGAGUGUUCUACAAACAGCCUCCACGAAAAGGUGUUUUCCGUUUGCCUCAUCAGCUCUAGAAGAUUUAAGUUUAACAGCUAUCAAGAACGGAGCUAGAUAUAUCUAUCUAUCAUCCCACGUGAAUAACAAAACUGCAUCAAUAUUAAAUAGAUUUUAUUAUGAAAGUAAAUAUAUGACGGGGUUAAGAUAUAACGGUGUCCUAAAAUUCCCGCUUCUCUCAUACCUCCACGAUCUUUCCAAAACUAAAUCCAGAGUGCCAUAUUUCAGUUAUGACCUUGGUGUGUGGCGAACGGAUCCAGUGCAGAAGAUUUUCCAUAAUGAGAAUUUACCAUCCGUGAACUCUCAUCCAUUCGUCGAUUCUAGAUCACCUUCUGUGAUUCUACCGGUGGGAAAACUUCAGCCAUUUGUCAAGGAAGAUGUGCUGUUUCAUUACGAUUCAUUUUGGGCAAUUGUGCCAUUACAAAAUAAGAACAUAUUGUGGUCUUUUUGGAUUCAAAAACUUCUAGAGGAAAUAAAUAGAUCAGUAACGUUCUUUUUCACUAACAACAAUAUGGACGAUGAUUGUAAAGCUCCCAAAAUGAACGUGUUGUCACUCAUGGAGGAUUGGAAAUGUAGCAACCGGACGAGUUUCUUUUCGUGUAUUUUAGAAUUAAGUAAAAC